AUUGAACGCUGGCGGCAGGCCUAACACAUGCAAGUCGAGCGGAUGAAGAGAGCUUGCUCUCUGAUUUAGCGGCGGACGGGUGAGUAAUGCCUAGGAAUCUGCCUGGUAGUGGGGGAUAACGUUCCGAAAGGAACGCUAAUACCGCGUACGUCCUACGGGAGAAAGCAGGGGACCUUCGGGCCUUGCGCUAUCAGAUGAGCCGAGGUCGGAUAAGCUAGGUGGUGAGGUAAUGGCUCACCAAGGCGACGAUCCGUAACGGGUCGGAUAGGAUGAUCAGGCACAAUGGAACUGAGACACGGUCCAGACUCCUACGGGAGGCAGCAGUGGGGAAUAUUGGACAAUGGGCGAAAGCCUGAUCCAGCCAUGCCGCGUGUGUGAAGAAGGUCUUCGGAUUGUAAAGCACUUUAAGUUGGGAGGAAGGGCAGUAAGUUAAUACCUUGCUGUUUUGACGUUACCGACAGAAUAAGCACCGGCUAACUCUGUGCCAGCAGCCGCCGUAAGAC
rnacentral:rRNA from 1 species